CUGGAAAUUUUGGAGAUGCGUUAUCUUUUGUGGGCAGCUCAGGAAUGUAGGAAACAACUCUCUUAACAAUCACACUAUCCAGGUCCUCUUCUUCCCCAGAAGAUAUGGGAGAUAGGGAAAGGUGCUGCCUUUUCUCAAAUUCAAUUAAUUUCAGCCUCUGGACUUCUGACAGGAUAUUUCUUUUGAAAUCUGAUGUCUGGAAAUCAUGACCAGGAUUAUCAACAUUUACAGAGCAAUCCAUUCCUUGGGCAAUAAAACCACCAUGAGGAAUUGAAGGGACUUCUUUUGAGACCUCAGAAGAGCCUUCAUUUGCUCCAGCCAAUAUUUGCUUCAUUUCAGUGGGAAUAGAAAUAAUUAGCUGCUUGUUCUUAAUUUCAAACAAGAAUACUGUUAAGCAGGCACCACAUUGCAGUUUCUGCUGAUUUUUCUCCCUUGCUUUA
rnacentral:misc_RNA from 1 species